CUGCCUUGAUGAAAUGGACUCGAUGAAAGUUUGUUCAUGCUUAAUGAAACAUUGACAGUAAUGUUGGUCCUGAGCGGUUACCUGAGCAG
rnacentral:snoRNA from 1 species